CGAUGAGCUCACGCGGUGCCGCAGCCCCGUGGGGGGGGGUUUGCUCCUCGCAACAAGAUGGCGGCGGCGGCGGCGGCUGCAGCGGCAGCGGCGAGCGGCGCGGGGGGGCCCCCUCCGGCCCCGCGGCUGUCCCCGGCCCCGCCGCCCCCGCGCCCCCCCGGGCCCGCCCGCAUCGGCUACUACGAGAUCGAGCGGACCAUCGGCAAGGGCAACUUCGCCGUCGUGAAGCUGGCCACGCACCUGGUGACCCGGGCCAAGGUUGCUAUAAAGAUAAUUGAUAAGACACAGCUUGAUGAAGAGAACCUGAAGAAGAUAUUUAGAGAAGUUCAGAUCAUGAAGAUGCUUUGCCACCCACAUAUCAUCAGGUUAUACCAGGUUAUGGAGACGGAGAGGAUGAUUUAUCUAGUGACAGAGUAUGCUAGUGGAGGGGAAAUAUUUGAUCACUUGGUGGCCCACGGACGUAUGGCAGAGAAGGAAGCCCGGAGAAAGUUCAAGCAAAUAGUGGCUGCUGUCAACUUCUGUCACUGUCGUAAUAUAGUCCACAGAGAUCUGAAGGCAGAAAAUCUACUUCUGGAUGCUAACCUUAACAUCAAAAUAGCAGAUUUUGGGUUCAGUAACAUCUUCACACCUGGUCAGCUGCUCAAAACCUGGUGUGGGAGUCCUCCCUAUGCUGCUCCAGAGCUCUUUGAAGGAAAGGAAUACGAUGGGCCAAAGGUUGACAUUUGGAGUCUCGGUGUGGUGCUGUACGUGCUGGUCUGCGGCGCUCUGCCCUUCGACGGGAGCACGCUGCAGAACCUGCGAGCGAGGGUGCUCAGUGGGAAAUUUCGCAUUCCAUUUUUCAUGUCCACAGAAUGUGAACAUCUGAUCCGCCACAUGCUGGUCUUGGACCCAAGCAAGCGGCUCUCCAUGGAGCAGAUCUGCAAACACAAGUGGAUGAAGCUUGGGGAGGCUGAUGCGGAGUUUGACAGGCUGAUAGCAGAGUGUCAGCACCUGAAGACCGAGAGGCAGAUGGAGCCGCUGAACGAGGAUGUGUUGCUGGCAAUGGCGGACAUGGGGCUGGACAAGGAACGCACAAUUCAGUCAUUAAGAGCCGAUGCUUAUGAUCACUACAGUGCAAUCUACAGCCUGCUCUGCGACCGUCUGAAGAGACACAAGAAUCUGCGCAUCGCAGCAUCUCCAAGUAUACCACGGACCAUGACCUUCCCCACUUCUACUAACCUCCAGCAGACAGAACAGACAGGCAAUACCAUGAGCAUCAAUGUGCCACAAGUCCAGCUCAUCAACCCUGAAAACCAAAUUGUGGAGACUGACGGAACAAUGAACUUGGACAGUGAUGAAGGGGAAGAGCCAUCACCUGAAGCUCUGGUUCGUUACCUCUCUAUGAGAAGGCACACGGUUGGAGUAGCUGACCCACGGACGGAAGUCAUGGAAGACCUGCAGAAGCUCCUGCCUGGCUUCCCCCGUGUCACUCCUCAGGCUCCAUUCCUGCAGGUGACCCCGAAUGUGAACUUCAUGCACAAUGUGCUGCCUAGGCAGAACCUGCAGCCCACGGGUCAGCUGGAGUACAAGGAGCAGUCGCUGCUGCAGCCCCCCACCCUGCAGCUGCUGAAUGGCAUGGGUCCUCUGGGGCGGAGAGCAUCAGAUGGCGGAGCCAACAUCCAGUUACACGCACAGCAACUGUUGAAACGUCCUCGAGGUCCAUCUCCGCUCGUCACUAUGACGCCAGCUGUCCCAGCUGUCACCCCUGUGGACGAGGAGAGCUCCGAUGGGGAGCCAGAUCAGGAAGCUGUGCAGAGAUACUUGGCAAAUAGGUCAAAAAGGCACACUCUGGCAAUGACCAACCCUACAGCUGAAAUCCCUCCAGACUUGCAGAGGCAGCUAGGACAGCAGUCCUUCCGACCCCGGGCUUGGGCUCCACACCUGGUACCCGAUCAGCACCGUUCUAUUUACAAGGACUCAAAUACGCUGCACCUCCCCACUGAACGCUUCUCCCCAGUUCGGCGCUUCUCUGAUGGUGCUGCCAGCAUCCAGGCUUUCAAAGCCCACCUGGAGAAGAUGGGCAAUAACAGUAGCAUCAAACAGCUUCAGCAGGAGUGUGAGCAGCUUCAGAAGAUGUAUGGUGGGCACAUGGAUGAGAGGACGCUGGAGAAGACACAGCAGCAGCACAUGUUGUACCAGCAGGAGCAGCACCAUCAGAUUCUUCAUCAGCAGAUUCAGGACUGUAUCCGGCCACCCCAGCCGUCUCCACCCUUGCAAGCUCCCUGUGAAAACCAGCCAGCUCUGCUCACUCAUCAGCUUCAGAGGUUGCGGAUCCAGCCAUCCAGCCCGCCCCCGAACCACCCUAAUAACCAUCUCUUCAGGCAACCAAACAGCAGCCCACCUCCCGUGAGCAGCAGUGUGCUCCAGCCCCACGGUGCCGCCUCCCAGUCCCAGUUCCAAGGGAUGCCAUCCCACAACACAAUCUUCCCGCAGUCUGGUAACUGUUCCCCUCCCCCAAACAUGGGGCUGACGUGCCUGGGCCUGCAGCAGCAGUCACAGCCUCAGCAGGUCACUAUCCAAGUGCAGGAGCCCGGCGACAUGGUCAGCAACAACCUCCUGCAAGGGGCCUCUGUGGCCGGGCAGGGCAUGUCCUCCCACGCGCGGGGCAUGCCCAUCAGCCCCAGCGCCAACCAGAUCCAGAUGCAGCACCGCGCUAACCUGAUGGCCUCCCUCACCUACGGCCACAGGCAGCUGUCCAAGCAGCUCAGUGCCGACAGCGCCGAGUCGCACAGUCUGAACGUGAACAGGUAUCCCCCCGCCAACUACGACCAGGUGCACUUACACCCCCACCUGUUCCCAGAGCAGCCUCGCGUUUCCCCCAGCAGCUACAGCCCAUCGGGAGGAGUUGGGUUUCCUGCAGCUCAGCAAGCUCUGAAAGUCCCGCAGCUUGACCAGUAUCCCAGUUUCCCUCAAAAUGCACAUCAGCAACAGCAGCACUACACCGCAUCGGCACUACAGCAAGCACUGUUGUCCCCAACACCUCCCGACUACAGCCGACACCAGCAGGUACCGCACAUCCUCCAGGGACUGCUUUCUCCCCGGCACUCUCUCACGGGGCACACGGACAUGCGGCUGCCCCAGGCAGAAUUUGCACAGCUCAUCAAGCGGCGGCAGCAACAGCAGCAGCAGCAAGAAUUUCAAGAGUUGUUCAGGCAUAUGAGUCAAGGGGAUGCUGGGAAUAUGGGCCCCAGCGUGGGACAGAACCUCUCGGAGCGCCAGUCGUUGUCUUUGCCUUAUCAGAGUGCUGACACGUACCACCCACAGAACAGCCCCCAACAUCUCUUAAAAAUCAGGGCACAAGAAUGUAUCCAGCAGGUACCUGCGUCAGUGCCGCCGCACGGAUACGUACACCAGCCAGCCCUGUUCCAUUCGGAGAGCAUGGAGGAGGACUGCGCAUGCGAGGGUGCCAGGGACAGCUUUCCAGACAGUAAGAGUUCAAACACAUUGACCAAAGGUUGCCACGAGACCCCUCUGCUUGUAAAUGCAGGAGGGCACGGGGACCCAGAAUCUUUGCUAGGAACUGCUAAUCACGUGCAGGAGUUGGGGACGCAUCAAUACAGACAUCAGCCCGCUGCUGGAUUCAGUAGGAAUAAGGUGCCCAGCAGAGGUAAGGCUUCCAGCCGCUCGCGUAGGCGAAACAAACGCUCUUCCGUGCUGGCUGCGUGCCACCUGCCUUCCCGCCGGAGGACACCGUCUCUACCCAGCACGGCAAGGGUUUCGUGACAUACUUUGCAUAGCACGGAAUUACCUAGAUUCUUGGCUUUUGUGGCCUGAAGUAAAUUGCAGGCAUAGUCUCUCUAAUAAACAGUGUUAAAUAAGAAGGGAACCCGAUCGGCUGCUUCUCUUUGGAAUUUGACCUACUUCUGCAGGCAGGUAAAGACCAGCUGCCAGAGCACCGCCAUCUUCUCAGGGAUGCUGUGUGCUCUCAAUGUGUUUGCUCUCGUUGGCGAUGUUCCCCAUCCUGUGUAAACAACAGGCUAGAAACGGUUGAGUUGUUAGCGUACCCCUAACUGUAGCAGAGGAUUCCUUCUCUUGAGAGCAGACCCUCGAGUCCAGGCUUUGCUACAGCUUCCGCAAACGCGCACAGCAGGAGUGGUGGUAAAUGUCUCGCGGCUAAGGCUGCCUUGCAGCAGCUCCCCUGGCACUUGGGGAAGCAGCAGCAGCAAGGCUCUAGCUCUGCUUGAACUAGAAGGGGUUGAUUCUGAAGAAAGUGAGUUUAAACUUGCCAUUAGCGUCUGAAGACCUUUCCUGCUAGUUGGAAGCAGUUGCGCCUUUGCUCCUCGGUGGCUGCGUUGGCAGCGGUGUGCUGUAAGAAAUUCCUGCCUGAGCUGUAAUUACAGGCCUUCUCUGCAUGAAAAACACCAUCCUAGCCCCUUGCUAAGAGGGCUUUGAAGAGAGGCUUUCCAGGCUGAGCUGGGCGGAUCAGUAUUCACUGCGGGGCUGAGUUGUGCUGGUCUGCAGCCAUCAGCUUGCCCUUGGCACAGAGGACCCUGCUGGGGAGGAGCAGUGUCCAGGGCACAGGAGGCAUGGCUUUGUUUGGGGACACAGCACGGGUUUGUUGGGAAAGUACUGGGUUGGAACAGACUGGCUCAGAGGGCAGAGCUGGCAUGCCAAGUCCUGGCCCCCCAGAGAGCAGGCUGGGGGUAGGGACAAGGCACGGCUGUUUUGCAGUAGUCUUCGAUUUUGGAUUACCAAGGUGUUUGCUCUUGGACCGCAGGUUUCCCUGUGGUGCUUGAAGCACGAGAGGGGAGAAGCACCCCAGGUUAAUCAGAGGUUGGAAGCUCUGGAGGUGCAUUUUGUUCCGAAUCAUGAAUUUGCAUCAUAAUACUGUAGACUGUUAGAUGAACAACAAGUUUUAAUGAAGUCCGAAGCUGAAUUUCUGUCCCCAUAAUGGUGCUAGAGCCAGUUACACAAGGGCAAAGGACUUUAGCCUAUAAGACUUCGUAAAUGAGUAAAAGCAAGUAAAUGUUUACAAAUAGUAUUGUGUAAGCCCUUCUGACAGGGCUGUUUGUAGGGCUCAUGUAGUAAGCUAUGUCCUGAGAUGUGACCGCUUGCACUGCUUUCCUCCUAGCGCUUCAAUAACCCACUUGGAAUCAGGCCUGCACUGCUUCGGUUCCAGGCAGGGUUGACAUCUCAGCUGCCUAGGUGCCCGUACCUACAAUUAAAUCCUACAAAACCUCGGUGAACGUGCCGCUAGCCUGCCGGUGCUUUGCCUCACCCGUGUGUAGCCCAGCUCCAGCGUUGCCCAGCACACCGUGCGCAGGCACCGGGGGAUGAGCGGGGAGACUUGCCCUGGCUGAGCGUAGCUCCUCUCCCUGUGCCGGUGCUGACAGCUGGGCUUUCUCACCCACAUCCCUGGGUUCUCCUGUUAUUUUCCCUGUGCUGUGUUGUAAAACUGCAACUUCUCUUGAGACGGGGUGUAUCUUCUCUUGCGCCCCGGCUCACCAAGUGUAUUUUCCCUGGAGCGGGGUGUAACUUCGCAGUGACUUGGGAGUAUUUGUGCCUUCUAAGGGAGCGUGUUGACCCUGAUCAAAAAGCCCUGGCUUGUCUGUUGAGCAUCUGCUGGAGAUGGCAGCUGGUGACGGCGAGAGUGUCAACCAAGUCUGUGUUUAGGAUGUGACUAAACCACUUUUGAACGACUUCGCUCCCGUUUUACUCCAACCUAGCCGUCACAGGGCUGGGAACGCUGCCCAUGGGAAACCUGCCUCUCCUCAGCACUGAAGGAGCUGAGCUGGCGGCGGUGGUCCUGCCCGCGGUGCCAGUGUCACAUGCCUCACCGACACAAAGGCCGCCUGGCGCAGGAGCCCGUCCCCUAUGGAUGCAGGGAUGAAAGGCUUUCCUGCCGCGGGUUCGGGCUGCUGGAGCAGGGUUGGGGCGAGUCAGGGAGCGUGAAUUCAGGCUGUCCUGUCCCUCAGCCUGAGCCACGUCCCCAGAGGUGCUGUGCUGGCAGCGGGAAGCGUGCAGUUGUAUUUUGGGCCCAGGCCAUUCCAGGCUAAGGGGACUUGCCCCAUCGUGCCUUGUUGCCUGCAGCGCAGGGGCCGGUGCCGGGGCUCGCUGCUGGGCCUGGCUGCCGGAGCACUUCGGCACCAGGGCUGUUUGUGGAGCUGGAGAAGCAGGCUGUUGGCCCAAACAACUGUUCCCACAGUUGGAGCGGCGUCCCGAGCAGUGUGUGGGUGGCACUGCUCCGCCAACAUCUGUUACUUCAUGUUUUCCUUCUCGCUUUUCCGGGAAAGCUGACUGUUAACCGCACGUAACCCCACGGUUGUGCAAAGGAAGGGGGAGGCUGGCUGCAUCGCUGGCUGCCCCGGGACGGGGCUCCUGCAGAACUGCCAUGUCUCUGAGGGUGGAAGGGCAUUGGGAGCGGUGUGCUAGCCGAGCAGCAUGGAGAGCGUGGGUGGCAGACUGCGCCUGGGACGGGGUCUCGUUUGGAUCCUGAGUCCAUCGUAGGGAACUGUAUGGACAGGAGUUCCCCCGGCCAAGCGAUGCAGGUGCCUGACCACAACGGACUGGGCUACCCUGUGCGACCCGCCUCCAGUGAGCACCCGCGGCCCAGGACCCUGCAGAGAC